CUGUAUGCUACACCAACCAUAACAGAAUGACAAAUGUUCCUUCUUAAAUACUUCAAUUAAAGAUUCCACAUUUUCCAUUAAAAGAAAAAUAAAGAUAGACACUGCUUCUACUGUCUACAGGAGCUCAGAAAGGGACCUGUCUUUGAAGACCCUGCCAGGAAAUUAAAGAAAGAUUCUCCAGAGUUGUUUUCUUUUUCCUUCUUCUUCUUUUAAAAAAUCUUUUACCUCCAACCUGCUGACUCUCUGUCCCAUCACAACACUCAUAAUAAAGGGUGAAAUAGAGGAGCUGUGUAUUUAGUAAGUCUUUUUGUAACCCCA
rnacentral:lncRNA from 1 species